AAACUAUAUAUUUUUCCUAAUAUCUACAUAGAAAAAUAAACCAUAUUACAAAAAGGCAUGAGGGUAUGUACAAUGGAUAUCAAUAUAGUGGGACAAGAGAAGGCAAGUUCACCCACAUGCAGAUAUGGCCCUUUGGUGCCUUUGAGAUGCAGAGUGGCUUAUAUACAGUUUUUCCCAUUCUGGAAAAUGUUCUGUAUAUUCGCCUGAUCCAAG